rnacentral:misc_RNA from 1 species
GGAAUAAGUGGUACAUCUAGGCAUCUCUUGGAGCAAAAUGCUCAAGCUUUUAGAAAAAUCACGGCUAACCUUUCAAUGUUCAAUGUCAGUUCAUUCAAGUUACAGGAUAACAUUGACCUCUUUUGUCACACAAGGAACAAUAUUACUGCCAUCCUGAAUGACAUGAGAGAGAUGCCUGGCAUAAUGAGCCAGAUGCCCCCACUGCCUGUAUCUAUUAAUGAGGAUCUUGCAAAUAGUAUAUUACCAACUACAACUCAGUCAUUGAUGUUUGGCUCGCCUAGUGGGAUCCAACUGAAGCAAGAGCCAAGGUGCUGAUGGAGAGUUGUUGGGGCAAAUUCAAUUUAUCAGGUCCGUGUAAGUACCAUAAUUUUACUACUGUAAAUGCUAAGCAGUUUGGUAGGAGGCGGUUCCUCCUUUCGUGUACACAUACUCAUCACACUUACGGGUCCCACAAUGGAAAAAUUUGUAGAGAUCCCAUUUUUGGAACCUUAAAUGUUUACCUUGCUAGGUAUCGAAAUCGAACCAAAAGCACCAGAUAAUAAGUAUGCCGACUGUCCAUUGUUCCUGCACUCCAGGGAGAAUCUCUAACCAGAUUACUCUUUUUUUUUUAGAUGAAUUUUGUGUUGAAGUUUCUUGUGUACAAAUUUGCAAAACAACACCUUGGAGUGGAAUAUUUGGUGCUUGAUUUAUAACUAUCUCUAGAUGUUCUUGGUAUCAUAUGUACCUAUUAGACCAAUACAAAUACUUGAUGAUGUUUAUUUGCUUUUCUUUUUUGUUUUAUUUUUUUUAAGGCUUGUCAUUUGAAAGAUUGCAAGCUAUUUCACACUUGCAUCCAGCAGAUUUCAGGCUAGCCGUGACAAUCCCUAUGUAACUAUGGUAAAAAGUUGAUUCAAAACAUUUUAUUAAUUUAUUUUUAAAAGGUGUCAUUUUGGAUUGUUUUUAGCAUUUGGUGGAUUUAGCUGACUUUUGAAAAGUGCAUUUUAGUACUUUGUGAUUUAAUAACAACGAAAUGCU